UGAAGGCUCGCGAGAGUAGCGGUUCUUUCUCUCUCGCGCGCCAGCCCGCCAAGAUGGAAGUGGCUGCUGAGCCAGAUCCAGGGCCAUCAUUCUUUGCAAGUGUUCCAGCAGCUGAGAGGCACAAAGUCAGGGGACUGAGGAAGACUGGAAAACUGAAGGGUCAUGUCAGCCAUGGCCAUGGUUGUAUUGCCAUCCUGGUUAUUUUGGAAAAGUUGGUAUGAGACAUUACCACUUGAAGAAAAACCAGCACUUCUACCCUACAGUCAAUCUGAAUAAACUCAGGAUGCUUGUUAGUGAACCGACGAGGCUUAACUACUCCCAAAUCAGUCUGGAUUAUCUCCUGUUAUAGAUGUUGUGCGCUCAGCAUGAUUAUUCCUGGGGAUCUUGGACUUAUGUGGACAAAUGUGCAUACAGGUGGUGGAGGGGGCUGCAAUAAGAAGAGGGCUGUUACAAAGUUCUGGGCAAAGGGAAGCUACCCUAGCAGCCUGUAAUCGUGAAAGCUAAAUUCUUCAGCAGAAAAGCAGAAGAGAAAAUCAAAAGAAGUUGGUGGAGCCUAUGUACUAGUGGCGUAAAGGAUUUUGUCUCUGUAUUCAGGCAUGAAUAAACCGUUUCAGAUGCGUGUCUAUAUUUUAA